GAUGAACGCUGGCGGCGUGCUUAACACAUGCAAGUCGAGCGAAAAGACCAUGCGUUUGCGGGUUGCACGAUAGGCGAACGGGUGUGUAAAACAUGUGUAAAAUCCACUUAAAUGUGGGGUAUCUUUAGGGGAAACCGGCUAAAAUCCGGUAGGAGCUCCCGCUCCGUGGGGUGGGUUGGAGAAAGUCGGCGGUUCGGGAUCGACUCGAGGCUUAUCAGCUUGAUGGUCGGGUAGUUGUUUACAACGGCUUUGACGGGUAGGCGGCCUGGGCGGGUGACCGGCCACCUUGGGACUGAGAUACGGCCCAGACUCCUACGGGCCGCAGCAGUCGAGAAUAUUGCACAAUGGGCCCACGCCUGAUGCAGAAACGCCGCGUGCGUGAUGCCGGCUUUCUGGUUGUAAACCGCUGUCGCCUGUGACGAAGCGUGAUUGACGGUAACGGGUCAAGAAGCACCGGCUAACUACGUG
rnacentral:rRNA from 1 species